CUUAAAAGGGGUUCAGAGAUUACUUCUUUGAAUGUAGAACACAAGAGGCAAAGCUCCACCUUAAAGAA
rnacentral:sRNA from 1 species